AUUGAACGCUGGCGGCAGGCCUAACACAUGCAAGUCGAACGAGUGGCGGACGGGUGAGUAAUGUCUGGGAAACUGCCUGAUGGCGGGGGAUAACUACUGGAAACGGUAGCUAAUACCGCAUACCAUCGGAUGUGCCCAGAUGGGAUUAGCUAGUAGGGGGGGUAAAGGCUCACCUAGGCGACGAUCCCUAGCUGGUCUGAGAGGAGGACCAGCCAAAUUGGAACUGAGACACGGUCCAGACUCCUACGGGAGGCAGCAGUGGGGAAUAUUGGACAAUGGGCGAAAGCCUGAUCCAGCGAUGCCGCGGGUUGGAAGAAGGUUUUCGGAUUGUAAAGCACUUUAAGUUGGGAGGCGUUACCAACAGAAUAAGCACCGGCUAACUUCGUGCCAGCAGCCGCGGUAAUAC
rnacentral:rRNA from 1 species